ACGCUCGACACCUACGGGAGGUAGCAGUGGGGAAUAUUGCACAAUGGGGGAAACCCUGAUGCAGCGACGCCGCGUGGAGGAAGAAGGUCUUCGGAUUGUAAACUCCUGUUGUUGGGGAAAAAGAGGAUGGUACCCAACAAGGAAGUGACGGCUAACUACGUGCCAGUAGCCGCGGUAAUCUGAGCGGGCUGGCAAGGC
rnacentral:rRNA from 1 species